rnacentral:rRNA from 1 species
GACGAACGCUGGCGGCGUGCUUAACACAUGCAAGUCGAACGGAAAGGCCCUGCUUUUGUGGGGUGCUCGAGUGGCGAACGGGUGAGUAACACGUGAGUAACCUGCCCUUGACUUUGGGAUAACUUCAGGAAACUGGGGCUAAUACCGGAUAGGAGCUCCUGCUGCAUGGCGGGGGUUGGAAAGUUUCGGCGGUUGGGGAUGGACUCGCGGCUUAUCAGCUUGUUGGUGGGGUAGUGGCUUACCAAGGCUUUGACGGGUAGCCGGCCUGAGAGGGUGACCGGCCACAUUGGGACUGAGAUACGGCCCAGACUCCUACGGGAGGCAGCAGUGGUGAAUAUUGCACAAUGGGCGGAAGCCUGAUGCAGCAACGCCGCGUGCGGGAUGACGGCCUUCGGGUUGUAAACCGCUUUCGCCUGUGACGAAGCGUGAGUGACGGUAAUGGGUAAAGAAGCACCGGCUAACUACGUG